GAUGAACGCUGGCGGUAUGCUUAACACAUGCAAGUCGAACGGACUCUUCGGAGUUAGUGGCGGACGGGUGAGUAACGCGUGAGAAUCUGGCUUUGGGUUCGGGACAACCACUGGAAACGGUGGCUAAUACCGGAUGUGCCGAGAGGUAAAAGAGAAAUUGCCUGAAGAUGAGCUCGCGUCUGAUUAGCUAGUUGGUGAGGUAAAGGCUCACCAAGGCAGCGAUCAGUAGCUGGUCUGAGAGGAUGACCAGCCACACUGGGACUGAGACACGGCCCAGACUCCUACGGGAGGCAGCAGUGGGGAAUUUUCCGCAAGGGGCGAAAGCCUGACGGAGCAAUACCGCGUGAGGGAAGAAGGCUCUUGGGUUGUAAACCUCUUUUCUUAGGGAAGAACAAAAUGACGGUACCUAAGGAAUCAGCAUCGGCUAACUCCGU
rnacentral:rRNA from 1 species